GUGGGGAAUAUUGGGCAAUGGGCGAAAGCCUGACCCAGCAACGCCGCGUGAAGGAAGAAGGCCCUCGGGUUGUAAACUUCUUUUAAGAGGGACGAAAGAAAUGACGGUACCUCUUGAAUAAGCCACGGCUAACUACGUGCCAGCAGCCGCGGUAAUACGUAGGUGGCGAGCGUUAUCCGGAUUUACUGGGUGUAAAGGGCGUGUAGGCGGGAGUGCAAGUCAGAUGUGAAAAUUAUGGGCUCAACCCAUAACCUGCAUUUGAAACUGUUCUUCUUGAGUGAUGGAGAGGCAGGCGGAAUUCCGUGUGUAGCGGUGAAAUGCGUAGAUAUACGGAGGAACACCAGUGGCGAAGGCGGCCUGCUGGACAUUAACUGACGCUGAGGCGCGAAAGCGUGGGGAGCAAACAGGAUUAGAUACCCUUGUAGU
rnacentral:rRNA from 1 species